GACGAACGCUGGCGGCGUGCCUAAUACAUGCAAGUUGAGCGCUGAAGGUUGGUACUUGUACCAACUGGAUGAGCAGCGAACGGGUGAGUAACGCGUGGGGAAUCUGCCUUUGAGCGGGGGACAACAUUUGGAAACGAAUGCUAAUACCGCAUAAAAACUUUAAACACAAGUUUUAAGUUUGAAAGAUGCAAUUGCAUCACUCAAAGAUGAUCCCGCGUUGUAUUAGCUAGUUGGUGAGGUAAAGGCUCACCAAGGCGAUGAUACAUAGCCGACCUGAGAGGGUGAUCGGCCACAUUGGGACUGAGACACGGCCCAAACUCCUACGGGAGGCAGCAGUAGGGAAUCUUCGGCAAUGGACGAAAGUCUGACCGAGCAAACGCCCGCGUGAGUGAAAGAAAGGUUUUUCGGAUUCGUAAAAACUUCUGU
rnacentral:rRNA from 1 species